rnacentral:rRNA from 1 species
GGUGAACCUGCGGAAGGAUCUUA